UCCCGCUUACACGGGCAGUUCCCAAAGAGUGCCCGACUUGACGCUGGCAACAUUGGGUGAGGGUUGCGCUCGUUGCGGGACUUAACCCAACAUCUCACGACACGAGCUGACGACAACCAUGCAACACCUGUCUCUCUGUCCUCUUGCGAGGAAAGCCUACUUUCAUAGGAUGUCAGAGGAUGUCAAACCCUGGUAAGGUUCUUCGGUUAGUGACGAAUUAAUGCACAUGCUCCACCGCUUGUGCGGGCCCCCGUCAAUUCCUUUGAGUUUCAACCUUGCGGCCGUACUCCCCAGGCGGAGUGCUUAUUGCGUUAGCUGCGACACCAGGGGGGUCGAUACCCCGGACAUCUAGCACUCAUCGUUUACGGCGUGGACUAC
rnacentral:misc_RNA from 1 species